rnacentral:rRNA from 1 species
AUUGAACGCUGGCGGCAGGCUUAACACAUGCAAGUCGAGCGGGGAAGGGUAGCUUGCUACCUGACCUAGCGGCGGACGGGUGAGUAAUGCUUAGGAAUCUGCCUAUUAGUGGGGGACAACAUUCCGAAAGGAAUGCUAAUACCGCAUACGCCCUACGGGGGAAAGCAGGGGAUCUUCGGACCUUGCGCUAAUAGAUGAGCCUAAGUCAGAUUAGCUAGUUGGUGGGGUAAAGGCCUACCAAGGCGACGAUCUGUAGCGGGUCUGAGAGGAUGAUCCGCCACGCUGGGACUGAGACACGGCCCAGACUCCUACGGGAGGCAGCAGUGGGGAAUAUUGGACAAUGGGCGAAAGCCUGAUCCAGCCAUGCCGCAUGUGUGAAGAAGGCCUUUUGGUUGUAAAGCACUUUAAGCGAGGAGGAGGCUACCGAGAUUAAUACUCUUGGAUAGUGGACGUUACUCGCAGAAUAAGCACCGGCUAACUCUGUGCCAGCAGCCGCAGUAACAC